rnacentral:rRNA from 1 species
CGUCUAUAUACGUAUAGCAUAUCAAUAAGCGGAGGAAAAGAAACUAACAAGGAUUCCCUUAGUAACGGCGAGUGAAGCGGGAAGAGCUCAAAUUUGAAAUCUUCAAGGUUCUACCUUGACGAAUUGUAGUUUAUAGAAGUGUUUUCUGUUAGUAGAGUGGCAAAAGUUCUUUGGAAUAGGACAUCAUAGAGGGUGAGAAUCCCGUAUUUGGUCAUUCUUUCUAGCUUUGUGAUACACUUUCAACGAGUCGGAUUGUUUGGGAAUGCAGUCCAAAAUGGGUGGUAAAUUUCAUCUAAAGCUAAAUAUUGGCGAGAGACCGAUAGCGAACAAGUACCGUGAGGGAAAGAUGAAAAGAACUUUGUAAAGAGAGUUAAACAUGUACGUGAAAUUGUCAAAAGGGAAGCGUUUGACACCAGUGUUGUUUUUCCGAAAAUCAAUUACGAAUGUUUUGUUUUUGAAGAAGUUAUGACUUCAUCGGCUUGCUUCUCUCUUUACGAAACUUUCUUAAUGCACUUUUCGGUUAACAAGUCAACAUCAAUUUCUUUUGUUGUAAAAGGGUAUGAGGAAGGUGGCUUUCUUUUCGGAGAAAGUGUUUAUAGCCUUGUACCUCUGCAAUCGGAGAGAUUGAGGUCUGCAGCGUAGAUCCUUCGGGGUUAGAUACAUUUGUGCUAAGUUAUAGCUUUUCAUAGACAACUUGUUGACUAUGUUAAGUCUUGUAGCUUACUCGCUUAUGCUAUUUUACCUACGCUUAGGAUGUUGAUAUGCAUGACUGAUAU